rnacentral:sRNA from 1 species
AUCAAAAACACACACGCACCGACACAUGGUCCCGGGUGCCGUGACGGCUUGGCCGAGCGGUCGGAUCCAUGGGGUGUGUGGAGGCCUAAC